CAUGGUAAUGCACUCAGCAUGAUAUAUAUAUAACAUUUAUUUUCAGGGGAUGGAGAGCUGUUCCAAACGAAGAGAGCUCAUGGAAAGUUCGGGCUAAAGCCUUGGCGUUGAUUGGUUCCUCCUGGUCAGGGUAACUCCCCUAUCUUCUCUCUGGAUAAGCUCAAUCCCUUCCGAAGUGGCCUGUUUCCAGCUCCACUCACCUUCUGCUUGGAGGCAGGGCAGCACAGCCAAGGCAAGCCCUGCCAGCAAAAGUCGCAUCCGCAUCCGCGCCGCCAAGAAAUCCAUAGUUUUGGAAAAGAAGAGCCCAAAGGAGAGGAGCCUCUUCUCGCCGGGUCCUGCAGCAGGGUCUUCCUUGGCUCCAAAGAAGAAAGGAGGGAGAAAGGAGGAGGAUUCAGGGAGGAAAAGGAAGGAAGGAAGGAAGGAAGGAAGGAAGGAAGGAAGGAAGGAAGGAAGGAAGGAAGGAGGGAGAAGCCCAAGUCGGGGGAACCAGGCUCCCUUUCUCUCCCGGUCUCUGAGUCUUUACAAUCCGGGCGAGUCGCAGGGCAGGAAUCCGCCGUGAAUCAUGGUCACCUUUGCGCCAAAGGACAGAAGAGAAGGAGGAGGAGGAGGAAGAGGGGCAGGGUCCACGCUCCUCUCUCCCGCAAAGUUCCCCUUGGCCAACUUCCCUCCUCCCCAAAAUGAAGAGAGGGAAGAGGAGCCGGUGGGCUCUUGGCAAAGCCCUCCGACCCGCUCGCCGGCUUGGGGGAGACACUUUGAGCAGCCCUGAAGCACCCACCCACUCGGUUCAUGCGUGAAAAAGGAGGAGGAGGAGGAGGCAGCCGGGGCCACCCACCAAGGCGCCCUCCAAGGAGGAGGAGGAGGGAGAGGAGGAGGAAGCAGCCCAGCUUCGGAGAGGAGACGCAGCUCCAGGCAAGGUCGGGUCAAAAUUGGCCGUGGAGAGAAAAGGGAGGACGGUCUUGCAGCAGAAGCAACCGGCAUCAUCUGUUCAUGUGGAGCAUGCACCAGCCUCUACACAACACACACCACACACAUAGCCCUCACCAUUGGAGAGUUGCAGCUGCUACUAUUGUUAAAGUUAAAUUCUGCAGGAUUUCUUUCCUUUCUUUCCUGCAGCUGAACUGAUACAUGCAAAGCCAACCCCCCUUUGAAAGCUUCCCCAUGUUUGCAAACACUUUUUAAUCAUUAUUGUGCCUCCCAAUCAUUUAUGACUUAUAGCAAACCUAUUGAACAAAUUAUUGGCAGGAUUUGUUCAGAAGGGCUUUGACAUUGGGUUGUUAUAUGUUUUCCGGGCUAUCUGGCCAUGUUCUAAAAUUUACAGUAUUUAUCUACAGUAUUUAUAUUCCGCCCUUCUCACCCCGAAGGGGACUCGGGGCGGAUUACAAUGAACACAUAUAUGGCAAACAUUCAAUGCCAACAGACAAACAACAUAUAUAGACAGACACAGAGGCAUUUAACAUUUUUUUCCAGCUUCACGAAUCCGGCCACAAGUGGAGCUGUUGCUUCACCGUCCACUAGUGGCUGUACUUCCUCAUUCCUUUCCUUGUGUUUUGCUGGCAGUUUUAUGAUGUUGUAAAUUAGUUAAAUUAGCCUCCCCGCAUAAAGCGUACCUAAAUUUCCCUACUUGACAGAUGCAACUGUCUUUCGGGGCUGCAUAGGUCAACAGCAACCCGGGCUAUUUAAUGGUCGGGGGCUUAACCCGACCCGGGUUUCGAACUCAUGACCUCUCAGUAAGUAGUGAUUUAUUGCAGCUGGUUACUAGCCAGCUGCGCCACAGCCCAGCCCAAAAGUAUUCUCUCCUGACGUUUCGCCCACAUCUAUGGCAGGCAUCCUCAGAGGUUGUGAAGUUAGGGUUUGACAUUGCCUUCCUCUAAGGCUGAGAGAAUGUGACUUGCCCAAGGCUACCCACUGGGUUUCUGUGUCUGACUACAGAUAUGAACCCUGGUCUCCAGGCAUAGGGUGUAUCCCGGUAGCACAGUGGAUUAAACCCUUGUGCCAGCAGGACUGAUGAUUUGAAGGUUGAGUUGCUGACCUCAAGGUUGUUGGUUCGAAUCCAACCGAGGGAGAGCGAGGAUGAGUUCCCAUCUUUCAGCUCCAGCUCCAUGCAGGGACAUAGGAAAAGCCUCCCACAAGUAUGGUAAAAACAUCAAAACAUUCGGACAUUCCCUGGGCAACAUCCUUGCAGAGGGCAAAUUCUCUCACAACAGAAGUGACUUGCAGUUUCUCAAAUCACUCCCGACAUGAAAAAAUAGGGUGCAUUUACACUGCAGAAUUACUGUAAUGCAAUUUGACAACAUUUUAACUGCUGUGGCUCUAUGCUAUGGAAAUGUUGAGUUGCAGUUUUACAAGAUCGUGAGCCUUCUUUGCUGAAGAGUGCUGGUGCCUCACCAAACUUCAACUCUCAAGCUCCAUACUUCACCAAACUACAACUCUCAGGGUCCAUAGCAUUGAGCCAUGACAGUUUGGGUGGUGCCAAACUGUAUUAAUUCUACACUGUAGAUGCACCCAUUUUGCAUCCAUUGCAAGGAAAGGCACUGCCUCACUUGCCAGCCUUGGCUAAAGGCUACUACUAGCCCACAUAGUCUCUAGAUGUAAAUAUUUCCCAUCAUGAUUGUCUUGAGUGUAAUGUGCAACUCCCAACGCAUACACUGCUGAGCUUGCACCUGCAAUAUUUGCCUCUCCAUCUGCUCAAUUCCAUUGUAUUUAUUUAUUUUUUCCACUACCCAUCAUUUCUUUUCCUCCAGUGAAACUGACAAGGUCAAGGAGAAAACUUUUCUCCCCUAAUUUAUUUCUGGCGGAACUGAUAAGAAUAAACUGAUACUGCCAUUCUUCAGAGCACUUUCCUUUUUGCUGCCAAUAGCUGUCAUGUAUGCAUAGUCAUAGUUGGCAUAACACUAUAGCUACAAACCUAACAAUGCAUCCACGAAAAUGGGAAAAUAGCUUUCCUAUAGAGCUUUGCGUAUGCAGUUUAUACAGGCACUCUGCAGUGGCAAGGGAUCAUGGAGGUCUUUUAGUCCAAGACCCCAUGCUCAGUGUGCCAUUUACACAUCCCUAAUGGAUGCUGUUUACAUGAAUGCAAAGCCUACAAUUUCUCAAGGAUGGCUUCUUCUAAAAUGAUAUCUAGAGUAUAUGAAGGACUUUAGAUGACUUAGUAUGCAUCUACACCAGUCAUGGGCAAACUUCAGCCCUCCAGGUGCUUUGGACUUCAAUUCCCAGAAUUCCUAACAGCCAGUAGGAUGUUAGGUAUGGUGGAAGUUGAAGUCUAAAAUACCUGGAGGACCAAAGUUUGCCCGUGCCUGAUCUACACUGUAGAGUUAAUGUGGUUCAACACCACUUUUAAGUGUCAGGGCUCAAUGUUACAGAAUCCUGGUAGGUGUAGUUUUACAACGUCUUUAGCUUUCCCUGCUGAAGAGUGCUUUUGUCUCACCAAACUAUAACUCUCAGUAUUCCAUAGCAUUGAGCCAUAGUAGUUAAAGUGGUAUCAAACUGCAUUCAUUUCUACAGUAUAGAGGGAUCUUUAGAAUUACUGUAUAAGCCUAGUUUUUCAGCCCUUUUUUAAGACUGAAAAAGCCCCCCCUCGGCUUAUACUCGGGUGAGGGUCCUGUUUGGCUUAUAUUUGGGUCAGCUUAUACUCGAGAAUAUAUGGUACAUUUAUUAUUUUUCUCUAUUAUUAUUGGUAUUAUUACAUUUAUUAUUUUUCUCUAUUAUUGUUGCUACUAUUACAUUUAUUUACUCUAUUUCAUUAUUAUUAUUAUUAUUAAUACAUUUAUUAUUUCACUCUGAUCUUAUUAUUAUUAUUGCAUUUAUUAUUUUACUCUAUUUAUUAUUACUUGUAUUAUUAUUAUUAUUACAUGUAUUAUUUUACUCUAUUAUUAUUAAAAGGAUACAUAAGCACAUUUACAUUGAAGAAGAUGAGAAUAAUGAUUUGAUCAGAGUUGGACAGUCUUAUCUUAAAUUUGAGCUUUAUGUAAAUAUUCAAAAACAUUUAACCUACUGAUGCCUCAAUUAAUGUAAUUUUAUUGGUAUCUAUUUUUAUUUCUGAAAUGUACCACUCUCGGCUUAUACUGGAGUCAAUGUUUUCCCAGUUUUUUUGUGGUAAAAUUAGGUGCCUCGGCUUAUAUUCGGGUUGGCUUAUACUCGAGUAUAUGUGGUAUUUCAUGUGCAGGUGUUUCUCAGGACCCAUCUACACUGCCAUAUAAUGCAUUAUAUGAUCAGUGUAUUAUAAUUAAUUGAAACUGCAUCAUAUAGUCAGUGUCGACUCAUAUAAUGCGGUUUAAUGAUCUUGAACAAGUCACAUAGCCUCAGAGGAAGCAGUAGCAAACCCCUUUGGAAAUAGCCAAGAAUAAAUUCCCCUUGGGAUCAUCAUAAGCCAGAACCAAUUUGAAGACACACAACAACCUCCAAGGCUUGCAUCCACCUCCACAACUUUCCUAGUUUUGGAUGGAGCUGUGUCUAGACCUCUCUUGCAAUCUUUCAAGUCUGUGAAGAAGAAAAUGAUGGCAACACCUUAGGUAAAUGUCAUCCAAACAGUCAGCUGCUGUGAGUUUGUACGUGGGGUCUUAUUGACUGGGUUUGGGGCCCCUACUAGGUGCUAUGGUAACAGAAGUAAUCAUUAACCAGCCCUUCGUUCUUUUAACAUUCAAGUCACCCAGAACUGCCUGCCUGCUUUGAUCUGUUCUUCCGUGAUUCUUAAAAAUACUUUUCAUCUCAAGGAACGGAAUAUGCCUUGGCAAACCCGACUGUAAGCUGCUUUGCUUUAAAAAAAACCCAACAAAACCUGUUAUCAAGAGUAAUAAACAAAUCAAUUAUUGUUUCCCUUACUGCUGCUGUUGGGAUUUAAUAAAAUGCUGUUUCUCUUCUACCAAGGCAUAUUUUUUUAAUCUUUUGAUAUAUUAAGAAUAUGGUCAUUAGCUCUCCGGGGAAAGCCAAGAAGUGAGUUUUCAUUUCUUUUAAAAAUGCAUCUGAGCAUUAAUGCCAGGGAAACAGAAGCGCACUGCCAUGGCGUAAUAGUCUCCCUGGUGGGGCAUAGAUGCUGCUUAAUGGAAAAUAAAUGCCAGGGCAAAUCCAGGGCAUCUAUUGUCAAGGCAGGAGGUGCUGAACCUCUGCCAGCCUCAGAUUCCUAAGACUUCAUUUCAUCUAUGACAAAUGAAUGGCUGGCAAAGUUAUUUCUAAUUUUCUUCUGGAUUCUAUUUUUUUGGCAUACAAAAUGGUCACUGAAUUUCUCAAGAAGUUAAGGGACUUUCACUUUCACCUGACAUCCAUUGGGAAGUAGCAGCCAGUAAUGAAAGGAUCAAAGAGUAGACAUCUCCGGCCCAUCCUCUGUUUGGAUAUCAGCCAGCAAGACAGUUCCUUAAAUCAAGAAACAGCUUCCUAAGAUCUACAGAGAUACUAACAGGAACAUCUCAGCAAGCAAGAGUCCAAAAGUGGCAGGUUAAAACCUGGAACUUCAAUCAGUGGCUGAGAUUGGAUGAGACUCCCCACACACAAGACUGGGCAACUUGAAAGGCGCUGAACAGACUGUGCUCUGGCACCACAAGAUGCAGAGCCAAUCUUAAGAAAUGGGGCUACAAAGUGGAGUCCACAACAUGCGAGUGUGGAGAAGAGCAAACCACAGGCGACUUACUACAAUGCAGUCUGGGCCUCACCACAUGCACAAUGGAGGACUUUCUCACAGUGACACCAGAGGCAUUCCAAGAGGCCAGCUUCUGGUCAAAGGAAAUCUAAAAUAAAGCCAAGUUUUUAAACUUUGUGGUUUUUCUAUACAUUAUAACUGUACCUUCAAUUCACUUCAGACACAAUAGAUAAAUAAAUAAGGGACUUUCAGUACAUCCUAUAAAUAUACAGAGAAAUGCUACUAGGGAAAGGACAUAAAAAGAGGUGUGGGUGUGACAGAAGCUGGUUAAUUACCUAAUGUGAUCAGUAGAGCAAUGCAACUAUAGUACACUUCCAAGUUCAUCAUUGCAGAAAACUCCCAUUCAAGCCUUGGCAGUGGUCUUCUACCUCAUUAUCAGUGGUAAGGAUUACUUCCA
ensembl:lncRNA